UGGGGAAUAUUGGACAAUGGGGGAAACCCUGAUCCAGCGACGCCGCGUGAGUGAAGAAGUAUUUCGGUAUGUAAAGCUCUAUCAGCAGGGAAGAAAAUGACGGUACCUGACUAAGAAGCCCCGGCUAACUACGUGCCAGCAGCCGCGGUAAUACGUAGGGGGCAAGCGUUAUCCGGAUUUACUGGGUGUAAAGGGAGCGCAGACGGCAAUGCAAGUCUGAAGUGAAAGGCGUGGGCUCAACCCAUGAACUGCUUUGGAAACUGUAUAGCUUGAGUGUCGGAGGGGUAAGCGGAAUUCCUAGUGUAGCGGUGAAAUGCGUAGAUAUUAGGAGGAACACCGGAGGCGAAGGCGGCUUACUGGACGACAACUGACGUUGAGGCUCGAAGGCGUGGGGAGCAAACAGGAUUAGAUACCCUGGUAGUCCACGCAGUAAACGAUGAAUACUUGGUGUCGGGGAGGUAAACUCUUCGGUGCCGCAAGCUAACGCAUUAAGUAUUCCACCUGGGGAGUACGUUCGCAAGAAUG
rnacentral:rRNA from 1 species